UAAAGAAUUAAAUGGAUAUUUACCCUAAACAUCAAAAUAAAAUAAUAAAAAAAACUGGAAAACUGAGAAGAACGAGAGGUCCUUGAGCCAGAUCUUCCCUCCCUUGUUAAUUCAUCAAACAAAACGAUGCCGGUUUUCAAAACCCCUUUCAACGGCUACUCCGUGAAGUUCAGCCCCUUCUACGAGAACCGGCUGGCCGUGGCCACCGCCCAGAACUUCGGCAUCCUUGGCAACGGCCGCCUCCACGUGCUCGACCUCUCCGCGGACCCCUCCCUCCCCAUCGGCGAGCUGGCCGCCUACGACACUGCCGACGGCAUCUACGACGUCUCCUGGUCUGAGUCCCACGACUCCAUCGUGAUCGCAGCCGUCGCCGACGGCUCCGUGAAGCUCUACGACCUGGCCCUCCCCCCGACCUCGAACCCCAUCCGCUCCUUCCAGGAACACACCCGCGAGGUCCACUCCGCCGACUACAACCCCGUCCGCCGCGACUCCUUCCUCUCCUCCUCCUGGGACGACACCGUCAAGCUCUGGACCCUCGACCGCCCCACCAGCGUCCGCACCUUCAAGGAGCACGCCUACUGCGUCUACUCCGCCGUCUGGAACCCCCGCCACGCCGACGUCUUCGCCUCCGCCUCCGGCGACUGCACCCUCCGCGUUUGGGACGUCCGCGAGCCCGGCUCCACCAUGAUCCUCCCCGGCCACGAGUUCGAGAUCCUCGCCUGCGAUUGGAACAAGUACGACGAGUGUGUCAUUGCCACUGCUUCUGUGGAUAAGAGUGUGAAGGUUUGGGAUGUGAGGAACUAUAGGGUUCCCCUUAGUGUGCUGAAUGGGCACGGGUAUGCUGUUAGGAAGGUGAAGUUCUCGCCCCACGUGCGGAAUUUGAUGGUGUCUUGCUCCUAUGAUAUGACAGUGUGUGUUUGGGAUUUCAUGGUGGAGGAUGCGCUGGUGAGUAGGUAUGAUCACCACACGGAGUUCGCGGUUGGGGUGGAUAUGAGCGUGCUUGUGGAGGGCCUCAUGGCUAGCACUGGUUGGGAUGAGCUUGUUUAUGUCUGGCAGCAUGGCACUGACCCCAGGGCACCUUAACAUAAAUAAGAGUGAAAAAUGAAUAUAGAGUUUUUCAAUUGAUCUUUUCCGCAUUCACACAAGCUUCAAGUAAACAGAUUAUAUAUAUAAUUCACCACAGUGAGGUGCUCUGGAAGGUUGAAUAGUCUGAUUACAGUGGUGAAUUAUGGAUGGCAACAGUUCCUGAAAUCAGAAGAGUUGACCUCAGAGGAUAUCUGCAAUUUACCAAUUUGGAAUGUAUUAUCCAUUCAGCAUGAUCAAAUUUCAUAUAAUGUGAAAUGAGGUUGUAACCUUCAGCUUAAAAUAUCAUAGGCCCUUUAUAUAUGGCUAUGGUAGUGGCAGGGAAGUGAAAUUAGGCUCAUGAAGGCAGGAGUGAGGAGCAGUGGAGCAUAUGAAUAUGGUUGAAGUCUGAGUGAGUGAGAGAGAUUAUAUGAUGGGUGUAUGGUAACCGAAUAGGGGGUUUCAGCCUUGUAAAAGAGGUUUAUACCUCUGAUAUAGCUAUAAUUCAGUGUCACCAUUUGGUUUUACCAUUCCAAUUUUGGUUCCUGACAAAAUUCCUCUGCUUUUCUUCUUUUUCAUAGAUAAAAUGGGGUUUUCUUGUC